GAUGAAGAACGUAACGAAAUGCGAUAACUAAUGUGAAUUGCAGAAUUCAGUGAAUCAUCGAGUCUUUGAACGCACAUUGCGCCCCCUGGUAUUCCGGGGGGCAUGCCUGUCCGAGCGUCAUUGCUGCCCUCAAGCACGGCUUGUGUGUUGGGCUCCGUCCCCCCGGGGACGGGCCCGAAAGGCAGCGGCGGCACCGAGUCCGGUCCUCGAGCGUAUGGGGCUUUGUCACCCGCUCUGUAGGCCCGGCCGGCGCCAGCCGACAACCCAUCAUCCUUUUCAGGUUGACCUCGGAUCAGGUAGGGAUACCCGCUGAACUUAAGCAUAUCAAUAAGCGGAGGA
rnacentral:misc_RNA from 1 species